rnacentral:rRNA from 1 species
GAUGAACGCUGGCGGCGUGCCUAAUACAUGAAAGUCGAGCGAACGGACGAGAAGCUUGCUUCUCUGAUGUUAGCGGCGGACGGGUGAGUAACACGUGGAUAACCUACCUAUAAGACUGGGAUAACUUCGGGAAACCGGAGCUAAUACCGGAUAAUAUUUUGAACCGCAUGGUUCAAAAGUGAAAGACGGUCUUGCUGUCACUUAUAGAUGGAUCCGCGCUGCAUUAGCUAGUUGGUAAGGUAACGGCUUACCAAGGCAACGAUGCAUAGCCGACCUGAGAGGGUGAUCGGCCACACUGGAACUGGGCCACGGUCCAGACACCUAAGGUAGGCAGCAGUAGGGAGUCUUCCGCAAUGGGCGAAAGCCUGACGGAGCAACGCCGCUUGAGUGAUGAAGGUCUUCGGAUCGUAAAACUCAGUUUUUAGGGAAGAACAAAUGUGUAAGUAACUGUGCACAUCUUGACGGUACCUAAUCAGAAAGCCACGGCUAACUACGUG